rnacentral:lncRNA from 10 species
AGAGAGGGAGAAGUGACGAUGGUGAUCGUUGCUGCCGCGGCCGAUAUGGAACCCAAGCAGUGGCGAAGGGAAUCGCAAGGCUCUUCCCUGACCAUUUUCUACUGUCCCUGCGCGAGGCUGAGUUAUGAACUUCGGUUUGGUUUCUUUCUGCAAUCCCUGCAGGGCCAUAAAUUCUUGGCCCUUAAGACUGGGUGGCCCAUAACAGACUCAGUGAUACCAUCAGUAACCACAAUUCACACUGGAGUCAAGUUAUCUGAUUCCCACACCAGUUGGAGAACUGGAGAUUCCUUAGAACUUUUAACUGUCAUGUUUUCAAAGUUGACAUGGAAAAUUUUACAUGAAGCUUAAAAAUACAACUAAUCUGUGGUGAUAGAGACGAGAAGAGUUAAGCUCUAAAAUUAGAAGAGCAGUUCGUUUUGAGGCAGCACUGAUUGGGAGGGAGCAUGGAGUAUAUAAUUACACAUUUCUAUGUAAUGUAAAAAUGUAUAGAUUUAAGAUUUAUGCAUUUUAUGUAAAUUUUACUACAAUAAAACGAAAAUGAAAGAAGACAGAUCAUAGUUUAAUCAAAUAUUGUGUACAAAGUAAUUUCUGUUAAACAUUUAUAUUUUUAUGUGUAUAUGUAUCUUUUACAUGUAUGUGUUAAGGAUAUGCAUUAAAAUGGUAAUAACUUCCUCUGCCUGUUGGGAUAAUGGAGAGUUUUGUUACUUUUUGUCUUUUUUUAAAACAUGUUCUUCAAUAAUAAUGUAUUGCUUUUGUAAUUAUGAAAAACAAAAGUUAUUUUGUAAAUCUUUGUUACUGAUAAGAGAUGGGUAUUCUGUUAACUACUCAAUUCUCAUGUAGGAAAACAAAAUAAAUAAUGUCUAUUUGAUAAAUCGAGAAACAGAAGCAUUACUUAGAAAUCUGAGUUACCUCUAAAAUAAUGACUGGCAUUUGAAGUUGAGGAUGGGUCUUGAGUUCCUGUGAUUUUAAGCUCUUGGAUAUGAGGGUUGGGUGAGUUCCUCUUUUUCUCUUUUAAAAUAUAUGUAUGUUUAACUUUGCUAAAUAAAAUUUAAAAGAUGCAA